UUGGAGGGCAAGUCUGGUGCCAGCAGCCGCGGUAAUUCCAGCUCCAAUAGCGUAUAUUAAAGUUGUUGCAGUUAAAAAGCUCGUAGUUGAAUUUCGGGGUCAGUAGGCUGGUCGUGCCACAGGUAUGUACUGAUCUCACUGAUUCCUCCUUCCUGAUGAACCGUAAUGCCAUUAAUUUGGUGUUGCGGGGAAACUGGACUGUUACUUUGAAAAAAUUAGAGUGUUUAAAGCAGGCUAACGCUUGAAUACAUUAGCAUGGAAUAAUGAAAUAGGACGUUCGAUCCUAUUUUGUUGGUUUCUAGGAUUGACGUAAUGAUUAAUAGGGAUAGUUGGGGGCAUUAGUAUUCAAUUGUCAGAGGUGAAAUUCUUGGAUUUAUUGAAGACUAACUACUGCGAAAGCAUUUGCCAAGGAUGUUUUCAUUAAUCAAGAACGAAAGUUAGGGGAUCGAAGACGAUCAGAUACCGUCGUAGUCUUAACCAUAAACUAUGCCGACUAGGGAUCGGAUGAUGUUAAUUUUUUAAUGACUCAUUCGGCGCCUUACGGGAAA
rnacentral:rRNA from 1 species